rnacentral:rRNA from 1 species
UACGUAGGCAGCAAGCGUUGUUCGGAAUUACUGGGCGUAAAGAGUGUGUAGGCGGUGUUCUAAGUCUGUUGUGAAUCUCCCGGCUUAACUGGGAGGGUGCGGCGGAAACUGGAAUGCUAGAGGAUGGGAGAGGUAAGCGGAAUUCCUGGUGUAGCGGUGAAAUGCGUAGAUAUCAGGAGGAACACCUGUGGUGUAGACAGCUUACUGGACCAUUCUGACGCUGAGACACGAAAGCGUGGGUAGCAAACAGG